rnacentral:lncRNA from 1 species
GAAGAACACAUCAUAAGUCUGAAAAACCUCGAUACCAAAUCAAAGGGUUAAACCCCAUCAUCCAUACAAAAGCUUGACUAAAGCUUCAUCUCAUCCGAACAAUACGGAAAGUUUAGCUACUUAUGGUUCGGGACCCAAGAAGGGAAGAAGAAAGGAAAAUAACCCGGAAAGACAACAUGUUCAGUAGAGAAUUCUCAAUCCUUUCGCCGAUCUUCGCUCCUUCACCAAUCAAUGUUGUUCUCUCGCUUCAAACGGUCUCUGGAACUCUCUCUCUUUCUCUCUCGAAGAGCUCAAAAAUAUGU